AGUCGAGCGGUAAGGCCCUUCGGGGUACACGAGCGGCGAACGGGUGAGUAACACGUGGGUAACCUGCCCUGUACUCUGGGAUAAGCCUGGGAAACUAGGUCUAAUACCGGAUAUGACUCCACUAGGCAUCUUGUGGGGUGGAAAGUUCCGGCGGUACAGGAUGGACCCGCGGCCUAUCAGCUUGUUGGUGGGGUAAUGGCCUACCAAGGCGACGACGGGUAGCCGGCCUGAGAGGGUGACCGGCCACACUGGGACUGAGACACGGCCCAGACUCCUACGGGAGGCAGCAGUGGGGAAUAUUGCACAAUGGGCGAAAGCCUGAUGCAGCGACGCCGCGUGAGGGAUGACGGCCUUCGGGUUGUAAACCUCUUUCAGCGGGGACGAAGGGCAACUGACGGUACCCGCAGAAGAAGCACCGGCUAACUACGUGCCAGCAGCCGCGGUAAUACGUAGGGUGCGAGCGUUGUCCGGAAUUAUUGGGCGUAAAGAGCUCGUAGGCGGUUUGUUGCGUCGGCUGUGAAAACUUCACGCUUAACGUGGAGCCUGCAGUCGAUACGGGCAGACUUGAGUUCGGCAGGGGAGACUGGAAUUCCUGGUGUAGCGGUGAAAUGCGCAGAUAUCAGGAG
rnacentral:rRNA from 1 species